GUGAGAGGAUGACGAGAUGAUUGUAAUACGCCGCGCUUUGUGCUUGCAAACAUAAAAGUGGCGUACCGCGAAUGCUCUUGCAAAUACUGCUUUUUGUUGGCUCAAACUCAUCCGUUGACUGGGUUGCUUUAAUCGGUACGU
ensembl:ncRNA H36L18.4 ncRNA